GGGCCCGUAGCGCAGUACGGAUAGCGCGGCAGCCUUCUAAGCUGUAGGUCGUGCGUUCAAAUCGCACCGGGCCCGCCA
rnacentral:tRNA from 1 species